UACGGAGGGUGCGAGCGUUGUCCGGAAUCACUGGGCGUAAAGGGCGCGUAGGCGGUCUGCUAAGCGUGCGGUGAAAGCCUGGGGCUCAACCCCAGGUCUGCCGUGCGAACUGGUGGACUCGAGCACUGUAGAGGCAGGUGGAAUUCCGGGUGUAGCGGUGGAAUGCGUAGAGAUCCGGAAGAACACCAGUGGCGAAGGCGGCCUGCUGGGCAGUUGCUGACGCUGAGGCGCGACAGCGUGGGGAGCAAACAGG
rnacentral:rRNA from 1 species